UGAGCGCCGGAAAACACUGACUACUACGAGCGUGAAAGCUCCUCAUUUUGGACUGAAUGAAUUCAUCCUUUUCUCCUGGGCACGAUCAACCAUGCAUGUGCUCAGACUAAUCCAGUUGCAAGGCCUUCGUUAACAUU